GCCGGGGUGGUGAAAUUGGUAUACACGCUACCUUGAGGUGGUAGUGCCCGAAAGGUUGUGCGGGUUCGAGUCCUGUCCCCGGCACCA
rnacentral:tRNA from 1 species